rnacentral:lncRNA from 1 species
GUGAGGGUGAAGAAAGUGGAGCGGAUCCACGCUUACAACGUCGUGUCCCGGCCGUCGGCGGUGUACCGGGCCACCUCGCCGCCGCCGGCUGCGGAGAACCUGGCCGUCAGCGUUGUCCGGGUGGGCGAUGUAGUGGCGGAAGACGAGGCGGUGCGGGUGAGGAAAGUGGAGCGGAUCCACGCCUACAACGUCGUCUCCCGGCCGUCGUCGGUGUACCGGGCCGCAUCGCCGGCAGCCACGGCGGAGAACCUGGCCGUCAGCGUUGUCCGGGUGGGGGACGUCGUGGUGGAAGGCGAACACGAAAGCUUCGUCUCGGUGCCCAUCGCCUAGUAGGAACGACUGAUACUCU